UGGAAAGUUCCAUGGACAGAGGAUCCUGGCAGGCUACAGUCCAUGGGGUUGCAAAAAGUCAGAGCCGUGAAGAAACCACCAUUUACUUGGGCCAUAAAAUCCCUCUUCAGAACAGAGAUGUCGCCCUCAGACCUGCCAGGAAAGAACGGUGCUGACCACAGGAGCCACCAGAAGCUUACCCCAUGUCUGAGCACUCACGGCGGCCUUCACCCUCUCUGGGUCUGCAGUGUGGUUGGGUGAGGAGUGGGGUCUCACGAUGCUACCAUGAGACCAUUACAGCCUUUGCACUGCGCAGGGAAGACCCUGUUUGAGACCUGGUGAGAGUUUGGUACCCGUUUCCCAUACAGUGCAGUGAGACCACCAAAUGCCAGGACUCAGAGGGGCAUCUUUCACGGAACCUUCCCUGUCCAUCUUCUCUGGGGGUGGAGAGCAGUAUAUCGGAAAGACUGCUCUCAAAAAAAUAAAAAUUAAAAAGAAAUAAAAAUUUUUAAAAAAGAAA